rnacentral:lncRNA from 1 species
AGCAAAAGCACUUUUAAAAUGAGUUAAGUGGAAGACGAACAGACAAAUGAGGUAACUUCUAUAAAGAUGGAGGUUGCUUCUGGCUCAUCAGCCAUCGUUGAUGGUAACCAGUCCUACAAUUCUCAUUAGGCAGUUCUGUUACCCCACUAUUUCCUUGGGGUCUGUUGUGCUAAGGACAGGAUUGGUUGGGUAAAGGGGUGUGGCACAAAUAACCCUCAGGAAUACAGGCCACAGAGCUAAUGAAGGGCCCCAAGGAAAGAAAGACCUGCCCAUCAGCGAUGAAUUCUCUCCCCCAGUGCCACAGACCUGAGGGCACGUGACCCAGGAAUGUGCAUCCAAAGAUAAUACUACCUUCAGAGAACUCUACUUAUAGGCUGUGGUUUUUCAAGAAAAAGGAAAAGAUUCAUAAUUCAUUGAGCUCUUUCCUUGUGAGAAGAAAGGCCACUCUUUUGUGUGCUGAAGUUGGACAACAGUUCCCAAGGAAGCUGAAUUCUAGCUGUUUAUUGUUAUUGGGUUUUGCACUAUGCCCUUUAUGUUGUCAUUAAUCAAUAAAUACGUGUGGAACAAAUGAUUAACUAGAAAAAA